GGCCAGCGUGGUGUAGUGGUUUGAGCACUGGACUAGAACUCUGGAGCUCAGGGUUCAAAUCCCUGUUUGGCCC
rnacentral:tRNA from 1 species